GCCAGACUCCUACGGGAGGCAGCAGUGGGGGAUAUUGCACAAUGGGGGGAACCCUGAUGCAGCGACGCCGCGUGGGUGAAGGAGCGUUUCGGCGCGUAAAGCCCUAUCGGCAGGGAAGAAGGAGGACGGUACCUGACUAAGAAGCCCCGGCUAACUACGUGCCAGCAGCCGCGGUAAUACGUAGGGGGCAAGCGUUAUCCGGAUUUACUGGGUGUAAAGGGGGCGCAGACGGCAGCGCAAGCCAGGAGUGAAAGCCCGGGGCCCAACCCCGGGACUGCUCUUGGAACUGCGCGGCUGGAGUGCAGGAGGGGCAGGCGGAAUUCCUGGUGUAGCGGUGAAAUGCGUAGAUAUCAGGAGGAACACCGGCGGCGAAGGCGGCCUGCUGGACCGUGACUGACGUUGAGGCUCGAGAGCGUGGGGAGCAAACAGGAUUAGAUACCCCGGUACGG
rnacentral:rRNA from 1 species